rnacentral:tRNA from 1 species
GCGGACGUGGCGGAAUCGGUAGACGCGCCAGCUUGAGGGGCUGGUCUCUUUCGGGAGAUGGAGGUUCAAGUCCUCUCGUCCGCACCA